AGGGAAGAAUUAGGAGGGAAAAUUUAAAAAACAAAAGCGCAUCGCUGGGCUGCUGCUCGGAGGGAGACUUACCUGAGAGGCAGGCACGGGCGAGCCGCACGGACGAGAAUUUAUCUGACUUCUGGGGAAAAGAAAGCAAACAAACAUGGAAAAAAAAUCACCUCUGGACCCCCUGAAAUCGCCUGCUCCCGUGCACAGCUCCUGCAGAGAUUCUCAGCACUGCGGCCACGGAGCCAGGGGGCCACGGUUCGGGGGUCCCAGCCGGGGGCUCCCCCACCCGGGCCAGAAGACGCCGGUCCCUGGGCUGGCGACAGCAAGGACAAGUUAAAGAGCCACCAAAGAGGAGCAAGGAGACCUCGGUGGCUCGUCUCCUUCUCAGUUCCCUGCGCCAAAACAAAUCAGCCCCUCCUGGUCUCGGUUUAAAUGUAGCUCACUGGAUAAUUAACUCCAUCUUUCCAGCCCUGCUUUAACUGUUUAUUUAGUGUCACCCCGUAUUACCAUCACUAGCACUUUCCUCUGAACAGGAGGAGCUGGAGGGUUUCACCUCCCAAAAGGAAAUUCUUCGUAGCUUAAAAGAAUCGGCAUCCAGGAGGUACAUUAGCGAAGAAGAGAGGGGGGGACGCGAUCUGGGGGUCCCAUGGCAAAAGCAGGAGGAAAUAAGGGUGGAGGUGGGGGGACAGGGACAGAAAGACGUAUCGGCCCUCGGAGAGAAAAAAACAACGCGUGAUCACCUCUAAUCCUUUGAAAAAUGUCCCGGUGUCGGGAGGGCAAUUUACUAACAAGUAAUUAAAGGUCGCACCGGUUUGCAGGCGAGCCGGGCCAGAGGCUCCCGCAAGAGAAGAGCGGUGCAUCUGGAGAGGGAACAGCAAGUGGAUGGGAAAGAAGCCUCUACAACACAAACCUCAUUGACUUAAUGGGUCGGUUUUGGAUUUCGCCUUCGAAAUGUUCGGCGAGCGGCAGCGUUGUGUUUCUGCCCCGCCGGCUCCCAGCCUCCAGCCCCGGUUCUCAUGCCGACGAGAAGCGGCUCCCAAAACCCCGCUUCUGGUUUUAUUUUGUUGCGCUAUUUGUUUCCUCCAGACCCUCACACUUAAGGAAAAAAAGAUUAAAUUUUACUUUUGAUUGGGGGAGAGCUUUAUUUCUAAGCUCGGGAGGAGAUGGGGGAUGUAUUUGGUUUACUUUUUUUUUUCUGCUUUGUUUUGAUUUUCUGGCGAAAUCGAGGAAAAACCCGCAGCGCGUUGCGUGGGCUCCAUCUUCAUCCCCGCCCUACGUUGUACAAAUACAUCAAAUAAAUAAGGGAAUAAAUGAAUUUCCCGCACAAACAGAACCGAUGGGUGUCCAGGCAAUGUCGGGGGCGAGCAGCGGAGGCCCCCUCGUUCGGUCGCCACCUCUCCGUGGGUGCGGAGGGGCCAGGCCCCGGCGGCGGGGGCAGCCCCGGGGAGCUCCGGCCGGACGGGGAGAGGGGUGAUGCUGCCGGGUGAUGCUGCCGGGUGAUGCUGCCGGGGUGAUGCUGCCGGGGUGAUGCUGCCCGGGUGAUGCUGCCGGGCUGCUCCUGCUCCUGCGGCAAAGGAAGGACCGAGAGGGGCCGGCGGCAGCUCCGCGCUGUUGUGGCUUUCGGUGGUUUUUCGCUUGUUCGCAUCUGCCUUGUUUAUGUUUUUAUUUUUUGAGAGGCUCGAAACUAUCUUGUUGUUGUUGUUGUUGUUGCUUUUGUGAUUUUUCAAGGACUAAAUGUGAUGGGGUGUUCUGGAAAUACAUUUGCCUCUUUCCCUGGUUCAAAAUGAAAGGUUCCCAAUUUUUAGGAAAGCCAACCCAGGAGAUUUAACGAACAUUGAUGCUCAGCGGUCCUUGCCUGCAGCAGCUCCCAGGUAGACCCCGGCGGGUCUGUCCCCUCGUUUUGUGAAUUUUGAUGAGACGGAAGAAUAAAGACCCUCUGAAGAAUCGCGAGGAAGCCUCCGCUCAGCCCUCGCCCGUGUCUGUCAGCUCUUCAGCCGGCCGCAUCGGGAUCAUUUUCUUAUUCCCAGCAAGAUCGGUGUUUGUUUUCGUCGGCCUUUUACAGGAGGAAAAAAAAAGAAAAAAAGAACAAAAAAACCCCCCAAAACAAGGAGAACUGCGAGGGCAAGAGAAGCCCGUUCUCGUUACAAUGCUCAGGGGCUUCCCCAGUCCCGCUUUGCGUUUCUCUCCUCCUCAUCCAGAAGUUACAAACCCUCAGGUCCGUGCUCUUCCCGAGCUGAGCCCCUCACUAGAAAGAAGAAAAUAAAAUUUAAAAUUAAUAACGAUAGAAACGAGGGAUGGGGGAAGCCACCCCCAGGCUGGGCAGGGCGCUGCUCCUCCAGGACGCGGCCGCGGGCGAGCCCAUGCCUUAUAAUUCUGCGCACUUGCUCCAGACUUUAGGGUAUUAGUUGAUUUUAGAGCCGGGUUUAAGGCUUCGUUCCGGUCCCCACACAGCUGCCUUGUCAAUAAGGAUCUGUUCCAAGUAGACAUUCCUUCUGGGAGGACAUUGCAGCUCUUUAAGACUUCAUCUGCAACAUCAUAAGUACUAAAAUAAAAUGGCAAGGGAA